rnacentral:rRNA from 1 species
UACAGGGGGUGCAAACGUUGCUCGGAAUUAUUGGGCGUAAAGCGCGCGUAGGCGGCCACUUAAGUCGGAUGUGAAAGCCCCUGGCUCGAACUGGGGAAGUGCACCCGAAACUGAAUGGCUUGAGUGCGAAAGAGGGUCGCGGAAUUCCCGGGUGAUUAGAGGUGGAAAUUCGUAAGAUAUCGGGAGGAACACCGGUGGCGAAGGCGGC